rnacentral:rRNA from 1 species
ACGAUCGUGUAUUCGUCUUUUCCAGUGACAGCUUCUCACCAAGCUCUAGUCCAGCGACUUGUCGGCGAUCAUCUCGAAGUGGUUCUGACGCAGCGGACGCCCCGCGAUUAAGGGCAGCCAUUCGCCUUAUCUUCGGGCCAACUCAAUCCAAGAUCGACAUUCGCAACAGCUCGCCGCGAUGCUGUCUCUGAAUCGUGUGG